AGCAGUCGCCGCGGUAAUACGGAGGGUGCAAGCGUUAAUCGGAAUUACUGGGCGUAAAGCGCACGCAGGCGGUCUGUCAAGUCGGAUGUGAAAUCCCCGGGCUCAACCUGGGAACUGCAUUCGAAACUGGCAGGCUAGAGUCUUGUAGAGGGGGGUAGAAUUCCAGGUGUAGCGGUGAAAUGCGUAGAGAUCUGGAGGAAUACCGGUGGCGAAGGCGGCCCCCUGGACAAAGACUGACGCUCAGGUGCGAAAGCGUGGGGAGCAAACAGGAUUAGAUACCCGCGUAGUCCCUGUCUCUUAUAC
rnacentral:rRNA from 1 species